GAUGAACGCUGGCGGCGUGCCUAAUACAUGCAAGUCGAGCGAACAGACGAGGAGCUUGCUCCUCUGACGUUAGCGGCGGACGGGUGAGUAACACGUGGAUAACCUACCUAUAAGACUGGGAUAACUUCGGGAAACCGGAGCUAAUACCGGAUAAUAUAUUGAACCGCAGGGUUCAAUAGUGAAAGACGGUUUUGCUGUCACUUAUAGAUGGAUCCGCGCCGCAUUGGCUAGUUGGUAAGGUAACGGCUUACCAAGGCAACGAUGCGUAGCCGACCUGUGAGGGUGAUCGGCCACACUGGAACUGAGACACGGUCCAGACUCCUACGGGAGGCAGCAGUAGGGAAUCUUCCGCAAUGGGCGAAAGCCUGACGGAGCAACGCCGCGUGAGUGAUGAAGGUCUUCGGAUCGUAAAACUCUGUUAUUAGGGAAGAACAAAUGUGUAAGUAACUAUGCACGUCUUGACGGUACCUAAUCAGAAAGCCACGGCUAACUACGUG
rnacentral:rRNA from 1 species